GCAAUGAAGUUGUAACAGGUUUGUAACAGGGUUGAGUAAGGGUUGUUUUGAGGUUGUGAUGGAGUUGUAACAGGUUUGUAACAGGUUGAGUAACAGUGUUGUAUUAGUUGAGUAACAGGGUUAUUACAGGGUUGUAUCAGAGUUGUAACAGGUUGAGUAAGGGUUGUUUUAAGGUUGUGAUGGAGUUGUAACAGGUUUGUAACAGGUUGAGUAACAGUGUUGUAUUAGUUGAGUAACAGGGUUAUUACAGGGUUGUAUCAGAGUUGUAACAGGUUGAGUAACAUGUUUGUUGUUGUAACAUGGUUGUGUCUGGGUUGUAA